CUCGUAGGCGGUUUGUCGCGUCUGCUGUGAAAACCCGAGGCUCAACCUCGGGCCUGCAGUGGGUACGGGCAAGCUAGAGUGCGGUAGGAGAGAUUGGAAUUCCUGGUGUAGCGGUGGAAUGCGCAGAUAUCAGGAGGAACACCAAUGGCGAAGGCAGAUCUCUGGGCCGUUACUGACGCUGAGGAGCGAAAGCGUGGGGAGCGAACA
rnacentral:rRNA from 1 species